UGCUACCACACGGCAAGCGGUACCGGAGCGCCAAGUCUAGGUCCAAAAGACUUCUUAACAACUUCUACCCCCAAACAAUAAGACUCCUGAACAGCUAAUGAAUUGGCUACCCAGACUAUUUGCAAUGCCCCCCCCCCCACACUGCUGCUACUCUCUGUUUAUUAUCUGUGCAUAGUCACUUCAACUCUACCUACAUGUACAUAUUACCUCAAUUAACCGGUAACCCCACACAUUGACUCUGUACCGGUACCCCCUGUAUAUAGUCUCCACAUUGACUCUGUACCGGUACCCCCUGUAUAUAGCCUCCACAUUGACUCUGUACCGGUACCCCCUGUAUAUAGCUUCCACAUUGACUCUGUACCAGUAACCCCUGUAUAUAGCCUCCACAUUGACUCUGUACCGGUACCCCCUGUAUAUAGCCUCCACAUUGACUCUGUACCGGUACCCCCCUGUAUAUAGUCUCCACAUUGACUCUGUACCGGUACCCCCUGUAUAUAGCCUCCACAUUGACUCUGUACCGGUACCCCCUGUAUAUUGCCUCCACAUUGACUCUGUACCGGUAUCCCCUGUAUAUAGCCUCCACAUUGACUCUGUACCGGUACCCCCUGUAUAUAGCCUCCACAUUGACUCUGUACCGGGACCCCCUGUAUAUAGCCUCCACAUUGACUCUGUACCGGUACCCCCUGUAUAUAGCCUCCACAUUGACUCUGUACCGGUACCCCCUGUAUAUAGCCUCCACAUUGACUCUGUACCGGUACCCCCUGUAUAUAGCUUCCACAUUUACUCUGUACCGUAAUACACUGUAUAUAGCCUCCACAUUGACUCUGUACCGGUACCCCCUGUAUAUAGCCUCCACAUUGACUCUGUACCGGUACCCCCUGUAUAUAGCCUCCACAUUGACUCUGUACCGUAAUACCCUGUAUAUAGCCUCACUACUGUUAUUUUACCUCUGCUCUUUAAUUAUUUGUUACUGUUAUUUUUUAUUUUUUAUUAAACAGCAUUGUUAGUUAAGGGCUUGUAAAUAAGCAUUUCACUGUAAGAUCUACACCUGUUUUAUGUGGCACAUGUGACAAAUACAAUUUCAUUUGAGGUGGUACCAAUACCCUGUAUCUCUCUGAGGCUGUAAUACUGUUGAUGACCACUAGGUGGUGCCAAUACCCUGUAUCUCUCUGAGGAGGCUGUAAUACUGUUGAUGACCACUAGGUGGUGCCAAUACCCUGUAUCUCUCUGAGGCUGUAAUACUGUUGAUGACCACCAGGUGGUGCCAACACCCUGUAUCUCUCUGAGGAGGCUGUAAUACUGUUGAUGACCACUAGGUGGUGGCAAUACCCUGUAUCUCUCUGAGGCUGUAAUACUGUUGAUGACCACUAG
rnacentral:lncRNA from 1 species